AUUGAACGCUGGCGGAAUGCUUUACACAUGCAAGUCGAACGGCAGCACGGACUUCGGUCUGGUGGCGAGUGGCGAACGGGUGAGUAAUGUAUCGGAACGUGCCCAGUCGUGGGGGAUAACGUAGUGAAAAUUACGCUAAUACCGCAUACGAUCUAUGGAUGAAAGCGGGGGAUCGCAAGACCUCGCGCGAUUGGAGCGGCCGAUAUCAGAUUAGGUAGUUGGUGGGGUAAAGGCCCACCAAGCCAACGAUCUGUAGCUGGUCUGAGAGGACGACCAGCCACACUGGUACUGAGACACGGUCCAGACUCCUACGGGAGGCAGCAGUGGGGAAUUUUGGACAAUGGGCGAAAGCCUGAUCCAGCCAUUCCGCGUGCAGGAUGAAGGCCCUCGGGUUGUACACUGCUUUUGUACAGAACGAAAAGGUUUCUACUAAUACUAGGAGCUCAUGACGGUACUGUAAGAAUGAGCACCGGCUAACUACGUGCCAGCCGCCGCCGUAA
rnacentral:rRNA from 1 species